UACGUAGGGACCGAGCGUUGUCCGGAUUCAUUGGGCGUAAAGAGCUCGUAGGCGGCUGUUCAAGUCGAACGUGAAAACUCGGAGCUCAACUCCGAGCCUGCGUUCGAGACUGGAUGGCUAGAGUCUGGUAGGGGGAUCUGGAAUUCCUGGUGUAGCGGUGAAAUGCGCAGAUAUCAGGAGGAACACCGGUGGCGAAGGCGGAUCUCUGGGCCAUUACUGACGCUGAGGAGCGAAAGCGUGGGGAGCGAACAGG
rnacentral:rRNA from 1 species